rnacentral:rRNA from 1 species
GACGAACGCUGGCGGCGUGCUUAACACAUGCAAGUCGAACGGAAAGGCCCUGCUUUUGUGGGGUGCUCGAGUGGCGAACGGGUGAGUAACACGUGAGUAACCUGCCCUUGACUUUGGGAUAACUUCAGGAAACUGGGGCUAAUACCGGAUAGGAGCUCCUGCUGCAUGGUGGGGGUUGGAAAGUUUCGGCGGUUGGGGAUGGACUCGCGGCUUAUCAGCUUGUUGGUGGGGUAGUGGCUUACCAAGGCUUUGACGGGUAGCCGGCCUGAGAGGGUGACCGGCCACAUUGGGACUGAGAUACGGCGCAGACUCGUACGGGAGGCAGCAGUGGGGAAUAUUGCACAAUGGGCGGAAGCCUGAUGCAGCAACGCCGCGUGCGGGAUGACGGCCUUCGGGUUGUAAACCGCUUUCGCCUGUGACGAAGCGUGAGUGACGGUAAUGGGUAAAGAAGCACCGGCUAACUACGUG